ACUGCCCUCGAAGAUCACGGAAGUGACAGUUGCAUAGAUGCAUAAUUGCAAUCACAUUGCAACAAAUACCAUGCUUAUAUGUUCCAAGUCACAGCAGCAGCCUAGAAGAAGCAGCUACUCUUUUCAGUUGGAUCCUAGAAAAGGUGACACUGGUGCUGAGUCUCGAAGGAGUGGUGAGGAUGUCUCUGUGCAUUAGUGCUGCCGUGAGUGGACCGGGCACUCCAGGAGUGCUGACCUCACUUCAUGGAGAUUCGCUUCAUCUGGUGGCCUCCAGCAGCUCCAGAUCUUCACCAGGUCUCUUAACCUCUCUGCACCUCAAUGAUCUCAGUAAAAGGGGGAUAAUUAAUAAUAGUAAUAAUUAAGUAACAUAAUGGUUAACAUGUGUAAAGUGCCUAAAACAAGCUUUCAAUAUAUAUUAUUCUCGUUGCUGCCAUUAUUCUUUAGCAAUUCCAAAGGAACAAGAGCUUCUCCUUCUGGAAAACUCCAAGGAUUGAGUCUUGUUGGAUCAACUCAGAUCUCCUGCCUUCUUUGAGCCAACCACUAUGAGAGAAGGGUAGAAUAAUCUGACAGUUCCAGGCUGGGUUAUUUACCCAGCCCUGGAGCUGGAGCCAGACACGGACGAAGAAUUAGGGAAUUUGGUCCCCCAAGAAAAGUCAAGACACUAUUAAGAGAAGAAAAACGUGGACUGUGGACAGACGAGAACAGAAGGUGGCCCAGUGGUGAACUCGCCAUCUCCUGAGUUGGAACUGAUGACUGUCUUUCAUUUCCGCCCCCAAAUAACCGUGGAGCCUUGGGCAUAUUACUUAACCUCUCAGAGCCUCUGUUUCCCCACUUGUGGAAGUGGGAUAAUUUUUCAUCACAAAUGUUUGCUUUUAAGCUUUUUAUUGUAGAAAUUUUCAAGCACAUUCAAAAGUAGACACAAUAGUAAAAUGAACCCCUGGGUACCUAUCACUCAGCUUCAAUAAUUAUCAACACAUGGCUGACCUUUUUUCAUCUAUAUCCCACUUAUUCUCCCCACACCCUGCUCCUGGAAUAUUUUGAAGCAAAUCCCAGAUAUCACAUCAUUUCAUCCAUAAAUGUUUCAGUAUGUAUCUCUAAAAAAUAGGGACUAUUUUUUUCUCAAACAUAAUCACUAGACAGUCAUCACACCUAAAAUUAUUAACAAUAUUUCCUUAACAUCAUUCAAAAAUUCAGAGUUCAAAUUUCUCUGAAUGUCUCCUGAUUGUCUUUCACUCUUGAUUUAUUUGAAUUAGGAUCAAAUAGCUAUGCCUUGUUCUCAGGAGCUCUAGAGUCAAUGCUAACGAGAGAAGAUUCAUUUUCCUAAAGCACCAUUUAUAUCAUGUUGCUCCAGAUUAGAACCCCUCAGUGAUGGCCCGUUAUCUUGGCCAACUCGUGUAUAUUAGUUUGCCAGGGCCGCACAACAGAGAACAGCCUGGGGGCCUUAAACAACAGAAAUUUACUUUCUCACAAUUCUGGAGGCUACAAGUCUGAGAUCAAGGUGUCGGCAGAGUCGGUUCCUUCUGAGGCCUCCCUCCUUGGCUUGCACAUGGCUGUCUUCCUCUGGUUUCUCCACCUCGCCUUCCCCCAUCUGUGUCUGUGUCCUAAUUUCUCCCUUUCAUAAGGACACCUGUCAUAUUGGAUUAGGGCCCACCCAUAUGACCUCAUUUUACUUUAAUUACCUUUUUAAAGACCCUAUCUCUGAAAACAGUCACAUUCUGAGGUCCUAGGGCUUCAACACAAGAAUGGGACAGGGGCACAUUCAGCCCAUAACAUCAUGGAAAGCUCUGGAGUUAGAAUGACCCUUCCCAAAAUUGUCCCAGUUGGGCCCAAAUGGCCAGGUCUAUAUGGAUCUGUCAUUGGAUGUGGGACUCUCUGGGAAAGAUGUGACUUUGGGAGAGGCCACUCUUUGCAGCUGAGUCAGUCCCCAAGGAGUCUGACAGCUGAAGGUGGUCUGCGGACAGCACCCCAGUAGCUGGGCAGCAGGUCCUUCAUUGAAGGGGGCUCUGGGCAGUGCAUCGCAGGGUCCACCACCAGUGGAUUCUAUUUCUUGCAGCCAAACAAACCUCAAGACAAGGAUGUCAUGAGAGUUAAAUGAGACAAUAAUUCUCAGCUCCCUGAGGACAGGGAGUGUGUGUUGGUCACUGGGUCCCCCAUCAAUGAUAGACACGGCUGGCUGGCCAACCCAUCACUCAUGCCCAACUGCUGCUGCCUUGUCCUCCUCUACCUCGGAGGCAGGAAAAGCUCAAGUCUCAUGUUCUUGGCCUUUCUUCUGGAUAAGGAGAGGUCUGCUGGGUGGGGUUCUAAGAUAGCUGUGACAACAGGGACAGAUGGAACAGAUGCUGCCACCCCCAAUGCAGACACGACAUAUGAACUGAGGCAGCUAUCUUGCACAGCCAGGGGAAGUUCAACAGAACUGCAGGCCGGUGAGAGAAUAAUCGAGAGCUGGUAGCUGCAGACCUCCAAAUUUUUUGUUAAAUGAGAAGAAUUGAAUGGUGUCCCCAUAAAAGAUAUAUUCUCACCCCGGGACCUUUGCAGAUAGAAAAAGAAUCUUUGUGGAUGUAGUUAAGUAAAGGAUCUCUAGAUGAGAUCAUCCUGGCUUAUCCAGGUGUGCCCUAAGUGCAAUGGCAAGUGUCCCUAUAAGAGAAGAGAAAGAGAGAAGAAGACACAGAGGAGAAGGUGACAGAAGACACUGGGGGCGAAGACUGGAGUGAUCCAUCUAUAGGCCAAAGAACGCCAGGGUUGUGGGCAGCCCCCAGAAGCUGGGUGAGAACAUGACAUGCAUUCUCCCUCACAGCGUCCAGAAGGAACCAACUCUGCUGACACUGGACUUCAGACUUCUGGCCUCCAGAAUUGUGAGAGAAUAAAUUUCUGUGGUUUUAGACCACCAAGUUUGUGGUACUUUGUCAUGGCAGCCACAGGAAGCUAAUACACACUGUGUUCUCGAUUAUUUUAUUAUUUGUAGCCUGUCUUAGUCUAUUCAGGCUGCUAAACACCAAUACAGAGAUCAGGUAGCUUAAAAACAACAGAAAUUUAUUUCUUACCGCUCUGGAGGCUGGCAGUCCAAAAUCAAGGAGCCGGCAUGUUGGAUGAUAAGGGUCCUCCUCUGGGCUGCAGACUGCCAGCUUCUCAUUAUAACUGCACAUGGUGGGAGGAGUGAGGGAGCUCUGUGGGGUCCCAUCCAUGAGGGAUCCACUUGUGUGACUUAGCACUUCCCAAAGGCCCCACCUCCUAAUAUCAUCACCUUGGG
ensembl:lncRNA